rnacentral:rRNA from 1 species
UUAAGUUAUUAAGGGCGCACGGUGGAUGCCUUGGCACUAGAAGCCGAUGAAGGACGUUACUAACGACGAUAUGCUUUGGGGAGCUGUAAGUAAGCUUUGAUCCAGAGAUUUCCGAAUGGGGAAACCCAGCAUGAGUUAUGUCAUGUUAUCGAUAUGUGAAUACAUAGCAUAUCAGAAGGCACACCCGGAGAACUGAAACAUCUUAGUACCCGGAGGAAGAGAAAGAAAAUUCGAUUCCCUUAGUAGCGGCGAGCGAAACGGGAAGAGCCCAAACCAACAAGCUUGCUUGUUGGGGGUGUAGGACACUCUAUACGGAGUUACAAAGGACGACAUUAGACGAAUCAUCUGGAAAGAUGAAUCAAAGAAGGUAAUAAUCCUGUAGUCGAAAAUGUUGUCUCUCUUGAGUGGAUCCUGAGUACGACGGAGCACGUGAAAUUCCGUCGGAAUCUGGGAGGACCAUCUCCUAAGGCUAAAUACUCUCUAGUGACCGAUAGUGAACCAGUACCGUGAGGGAAAGGUGAAAAGCACCCCGGAAGGGGAGUGAAAUAGAACCUGAAACCGUGUGCUUACAAGUAGUCAGAGCCCGUUAAUGGGUGAUGGCGUGCCUUUUGUAGAAUGAACCGGCGAGUUACGAUUUGAUGCAAGGUUAAGCAGUAAAUGUGGAGCCGUAGCGAAAGCGAGUCUGAAUAGGGCGUUUAGUAUUUGGUCGUAGACCCGAAACCAGGUGAUCUACCCUUGGUCAGGUUGAAGUUCAGGUAACACUGAAUGGAGGACCGAACCGACUUACGUUGAAAAGUGAGCGGAUGAACUGAGGGUAGCGGAGAAAUUUCAAUCGAACCUGGAAGAUAGCUGGUUCUCUCCGAAAUAGCUUUAGGGCUAGCCUCAAGUGAUGAUUAUUGGAGGUAGAGCACUGUUUGGACGAGGGGCCCCUCUCGGGUUACCGAAUUCAGACAAACUCCGAAUGCCAAUUAAUUUAACUUGGGAGUCAGAACAUGGGUGAUAAGGUCCGUGUUCGAAAGGGAAACAGCCCAGACCACCAGCUAAGGUCCCAAAAUAUAUGUUAAGUGGAAAAGGAUGUGGCGUUGCCCAGACAACUAGGAUGUUGGCUUAGAAGCAGCCAUCAUUUAAAGAGUGCGUAAUAGCUCACUAGUCGAGUGACACUGCGCCGAAAAUGUACCGGGGCUAAACAUAUUACCGAAGCUGUGGAUUGUCCUUUGGACAAUGGUAGGAGAGCGUUCUAAGGGCGUUGAAGCAUGAUCGUAAGGACAUGUGGAGCGCUUAGAAGUGAGAAUGCCGGUGUGAGUAGCGAAAGACGGGUGAGAAUCCCGUCCACCGAUUGACUAAGGUUUCCAGAGGAAGGCUCGUCCGCUCUGGGUUAGUCGGGUCCUAAGCUGAGGCCGACAGGCGUAGGCGAUGGAUAACAGGUUGAUAUUCCUGUACCACCUAUAAUCGUUUUAAUCGAUGGGGGGACGCAGUAGGAUAGGCGAAGCGUGCGAUUGGAUUGCACGUCUAAGCAGUAAGGCUGAGUAUUAGGCAAAUCCGGUACUCGUUAAGGCUGAGCUGUGAUGGGGAGAAGACAUUGUGUCUUCGAGUCGUUGAUUUCACACUGCCGAGAAAAGCCUCUAGAUAGAAAAUAGGUGCCCGUACCGCAAACCGACACAGGUAGUCAAGAUGAGAAUUCUAAGGUGAGCGAGCGAACUCUCGUUAAGGAACUCGGCAAAAUGACCCCGUAACUUCGGGAGAAGGGGUGCUCUUUAGGGUUAACGCCCAGAAGAGCCGCAGUGAAUAGGCCCAAGCGACUGUUUAUCAAAAACACAGGUCUCUGCUAAACCGUAAGGUGAUGUAUAGGGGCUGACGCCUGCCCGGUGCUGGAAGGUUAAGAGGAGUGGUUAGCUUCUGCGAAGCUACGAAUCGAAGCCCCAGUAAACGGCGGCCGUAACUAUAACGGUCCUAAGGUAGCGAAAUUCCUUGUCGGGUAAGUUCCGACCCGCACGAAAGGCGUAACGAUUUGGGCACUGUCUCAACGAGAGACUCGGUGAAAUCAUAGUACCUGUGAAGAUGCAGGUUACCCGCGACAGGACGGAAAGACCCCGUGGAGCUUUACUGUAGCCUGAUAUUGAAAUUCGGCACAGCUUGUACAGGAUAGGUAGGAGCCUUUGAAACGUGAGCGCUAGCUUACGUGGAGGCGCUGGUGGGAUACUACCCUAGCUGUGUUGGCUUUCUAACCCGCACCACUUAUCGUGGUGGGAGACAGUGUCAGGCGGGCAGUUUGACUGGGGCGGUCGCCUCCUAAAAGGUAACGGAGGCGCUCAAAGGUUCCCUCAGAAUGGUUGGAAAUCAUUCAUAGAGUGUAAAGGCAUAAGGGAGCUUGACUGCGAGACCUACAAGUCGAGCAGGGUCGAAAGACGGACUUAGUGAUCCGGUGGUUCCGCAUGGAAGGGCCAUCGCUCAACGGAUAAAAGCUACCCCGGGGAUAACAGGCUUAUCUCCCCCAAGAGUUCACAUCGACGGGGAGGUUUGGCACCUCGAUGUCGGCUCAUCGCAUCCUGGGGCUGUAGUCGGUCCCAAGGGUUGGGCUGUUCGCCCAUUAAAGCGGUACGCGAGCUGGGUUCAGAACGUCGUGAGACAGUUCGGUCCCUAUCCGUCGUGGGCGUAGGAAAUUUGAGAGGAGCUGUCCUUAGUACGAGAGGACCGGGAUGGACAUACCUCUGGUGUACCAGUUGUCGUGCCAACGGCAUAGCUGGGUAGCUAUGUGUGGACGGGAUAAGUGCUGAAAGCAUCUAAGCAUGAAGCCCCCCUCAAGAUGAGAUUUCCCAACUUCGGUUAUAAGAUCCCUCAAAGAUGAUGAGGUUAAUAGGUUCGAGGUGGAAGCAUGGUGACAUGUGGAGCUGACGAAUACUAAUCGAUCGAAGACUUAAUCAA